rnacentral:rRNA from 1 species
UGCAGUCGAACGGCAGCAGGAAGUGCUUGCACUUUGCUGACGAGUGGCGGACGGGUGAGUAAUACUUAGGAACAUGCCUUUGUGUGGGGGAUAACCAUUGGAAACGAUGGCUAAUACCGCAUAAUGUCUUUGGACCAAAGAGGGCUUUCGGGCUCUCGCGCAAAGAGUGGCCUAAGUGAGAUUAGCUUGUUGGUGAGGUAAAGGCUCACCAAGGCGACGAUCUCUAGCUGUUCUGAGAGGAAGAUCAGCCACACUGGGACUGAGACACGGCCCAGACUCCUACGGGAGGCAGCAGUGGGGAAUAUUGCACAAUGGGGGCAACCCUGAUGCAGCCAUGCCGCGUGUGUGAAGAAGGCCUUCGGGUUGUAAAGCACUUUCAGUUGUGAGGAAAGGUUGAUGGUUAAUACCCAUCAGCUGUGACGUUAGCAACAGAAGAAGCACCGGCUAACUCCGUGCCAGCAGCCGCGGUAAUACGGAGGGUGCGAGCGUUAAUCGGAAUUACUGGGCGUAAAGCGCACGCAGGCGGUUAUAUAAGCUAGAUGUGAAAGCCCCGGGCUCAACCUGGGAAUAGCAUUUAGAACUGUAUGACUAGAGUCUUGGAGAGGGGAGUGGAAUUCCAGGUGUAGCG